GACGAACGCUGGCGGCGUGCUUAACACAUGCAAGCCGAACGAUGAACUUGGAGCUUGCUCUGGGGGAUUAGUGGCGAACGGGUGAGUAACACGUGAGUAACCUGCCCUGGACUCUGGGAUAACUUCGAGAAAUCGGAGCUAAUACCGGAUAGGACCUUGCACCGCAUGGUGUGGGGUGGAAAGUUUUUCGGUUUGGGAGGGACUCGCGGCCUAUCAGCUUGUUGGUGAGGUGAUGGCUCAACAAGGCGUCGACGGGUAACCGGCCUGAGAGGGUGACCGGCCACACUGGGACUGAGACACGGCCCAGACUCCUACGGGAGGCAGCAGUGGGGAAUAUUGCACAAUGGGCGCAAGCCUGAUGCAGCAACGCCGCGUGCGGGAUGACGGCCUUCGGGUUGUAAACCGCUUUUAGUAGGGAAGAAGCCUUCGGGUGACGGUACCUGCAGAAAAAGGACCGGCUAACUACGUGCCAGCCGCCGCAGUAACAC
rnacentral:rRNA from 1 species